CCUACGGGCGGCAGCAGUAGGGAAUAUUGCUCAAUGGGGGAAACCCUGAAGCAGCAACGCCGCGUGGAGGAUGAAGGUUUUCGGAUUGUAAACUCCUUUUGUUAGAGAAGAUAAUGACGGUAUCUAACGAAUAAGCAACGGCUAACUCCGUGCCAGCAGCCGCGGUAAUACGGAGGGUGCAAGCGUUACUCGGAGUCACUGGGCGUAAAGAGCGCGUAGGCGGGAUAGCAAGUCAGAUGUGAAAUCCUAGGGCUUAACCAUAGAACUGCAUUUGAAACUGUUAUUCUAGAGUAUGGGAGAGGUAGGUGGAAUGCUUGGUGUAGGGGUAAAAUCCGUAGAGAUCAAGAGGAAUACUCAUUGCGAAGGCGACCUGCUAGAACAUAACUGACGCUGAUGCGCGAAAGCGUGGGGAGCAAACAGGAUUAGAUACCCGUGUAGUC
rnacentral:rRNA from 1 species